UACAGAGGGUGCGAGCGUUGUUCGGAAUCACUGGGCGUAAAGCGCACGUAGGCGGCACCGCAAGUGUGGGGUGAAAUCCCACGGCUUACCCGUGGAACUGCCUGGCAGACUGCGGUGCUAGAGGUUGGUAGGGGAGAGCGGAACUCUUGGUGGAGCGGUGAAAUGCGCAGAUAUCAAGAGGAACACCGGUGGCGAAGGCGGCUCUCUGGUCCAAUCCUGACGCUGAGGUGCGAAAGCUAGGGGAGCAAACGGG
rnacentral:rRNA from 1 species